rnacentral:rRNA from 1 species
GACGAACGCUGGCGGCGUGCCUAAUACAUGCAAGUAGAACGCUGAAGCUUGGUGCUUGCACCGAGCGGAUGAGUUGCGAACGGGUGAGUAACGCGUAGGUAACCUGCCUGGUAGCGGGGGAUAACUAUUGGAAACGAUAGCUAAUACCGCAUAAAAUGGAUUAUCGCAUGAUAAUCCAUUGAAAGGUGCAAAUGCAUCACUACCAGAUGGACCUACGUUGUAUUAGCUAGUUGGUGGGGUAACGGCUCACCAAGGCGACGAUACAUAGCCGACCUGAGAGGGUGAUCGGCCACACUGGGACUGAGACACGGCCCAGACUCCUACGGGAGGCAGCAGUAGGGAAUCUUCGGCAAUGGACGGAAGUCUGACCGAGCAACGCCGCGUGAGUGAAGAAGGUUUUCGGAUCGUAAAGCUCUGUUGUAAGAGAAGAACGAGUGUGAGAGUGGAAAGUUCACACUGUGACGGUAUCUUACCAGAAAGGGACGGCUAACUACGUGCCAGCAGCCGCGGUAAUACGUAGGUCCCGAGCGUUGUCCGGAUUUAUUGGGCGUAAAGCGAGCGCAGGCGGUUAGAUAAGUCUGAAGUUAAAGGCUGUGGCUUAACCAUAGUACGCUUUGGAAACUGUUUAACUUGAGUGCAAGAGGGGAGAGUGGAAUUCCAUGUGUAGCGGUGAAAUGCGUAGAUAUAUGGAGGAACACCGGUGGCGAAAGCGGCUCUCUGGCUUGUAACUGACGCUGAGGCUCGAAAGCGUGGGGAGCAAACAGG